rnacentral:lncRNA from 1 species
UUUACCAGGACACAUUGGUUUCUUUUUUCAAAUAACAAAUGCAGUAUUAAUAAGAAUACUCACUUGAUAUAUUAGUAUUAAUUCGUUUUUACUCAGUCAAAAGUCACCUUUGCAAUUUUUAAAGCAAUCAUGAAAUAAAUCUCUUUGUAAUAUACUUGGUUAGAAACCAAUAUUUGUUUAGUUUAGUUGAGCUGUCCACAGAAAACCUCACACUAAAUGAAGAUUAAUAUGUUAAACUGUUUUCAUCAUCCUGUGGGUUGUUUUUCAAACUUUACAAAGAAGAGCUAUUUAAGUUUUACUUUUUAAUGUAUUUCUCCAAUCCUCAUUCUGCUCACCUGUUUUCUUACCUCUUUUACUUAUUAAAAUAGAUAGCAGACAGUAGAAUGGAUGAAAUAAUAAGGAAAUUGCCAAUGGUAUACAUUCUGAUGAUGUACAUUUAGAGGUCAAGACGUUAAAGAAGUCACAUUUAGAUAUUAAUUAGUAUUUUUAUCAUGUUUUAAUAUACUUUGCACUUGGCUUUCUCUGAUAUGACUAAUAAAAUAGAUUUAUUUUAACGGCUAAGAAUUUCUAGUUAUAGAAACACAAGAAAUUUCCUAUUGCUUUGACGAUUUCAAAAAAAAAAUUAAACUUUACUAUUUAUAUGUAUGGUUGGAAUUCCCAUUCUGGUUCUGUUACAAUAUUUCAGAUUUCAAUUCAACACCUUUUCCAAGAUUUAUAAAUCUAGAUAGUUAUUUUCUACUGUACUCUGACCACUUUGGAUAACUAUGCUUAUAUGCCUUAUCUUUUGUAUAGCAUCUUCAUAGGUACAACUUCUUUUAAUUCACCACCCACAUUGUAUAUGUGGUAUACGUGUAUGUCUAUCAAUAUAUUAUCUUUCAAAGAUUACAUAUGAACAACACAAUUUUUUUCUUGUUUCUAGCUGCCUUGAUCACAGAAGACCUAGAGAUUCCAUUUGAAGUUCAUAGAUUUGUCUUAACAGGAGAGAGAUGGGGGAUGCUCAGGAAUGAAUCAAUCACUCUGCCACUCACUGCGCUGACAGCAUUCAUCCGCGUGAGCAAACUUCUGUGUGGGCAAUGCCAGUGAAAUUUAUUUCUCGGAGUGAGUUUACUGCUUACAUUCAAGAUGUCUCAUCUUUCUGGCAAUCAGGAUAAAUUGUGUCUCAGUAAUAAUAUUGUAGCAAGCUAUUCUUUACUUGAGGAGCCAGUAAUGACUGUGUUUUACAUUUGCAUUAAUUCUGACAAGAUUUACUAGUGCUUGCUGAUCUGUAAAUUUCAAAAUGGCAAACAGCAGCAAAGGUCAACACAGCAAUAAUAUUAAUAGCUUUAGGGAAAGGUUGAGAGACUCAGAGAUUCCAG